rnacentral:rRNA from 1 species
GGUUAAGCGACUAAGCGUACACGGUGGAUGCCCUGGCAGUCAGAGGCGAUGAAGGACGUGCUAAUCUGCGAUAAGCGUCGGUAAGGUGAUAUGAACCGUUAUAACCGGCGAUUUCCGAAUGGGGAAACCCAGUGUGAUUCGUCACACUAUCAUUAACUGAAUCCAUAGGUUAAUGAGGCGAACCGGGGAACUGAAACAUCUAAGUACCCCGAGGAAAAGAAAUCAACCGAGAUUCCCCCAGUAGCGGCGAGCGAACGGGGAGCAGCCCAGAGCCUGAAUCAGUGUGUGUGUUAGUGGAAGCGUCUGGAAAGGCGUGCGAUACAGGGUGACAGCCCCGUACACAAAAAUGCACAUACUGUGAGCUCGAUGAGUAGGGCGGGACACGUGGUAUCCUGUCUGAAUAUGGGGGACCAUCCUCCAAGGCUAAAUACUCCUGACUGACCGAUAGUGAACCAGUACCGUGAGGGAAAGGCGAAAAGAACCCCGGCGAGGGGAGUGAAAAAGAACCUGAAACCGUGUACGUACAAGCAGUGGGAGCACGCUUAGGCGUGUGACUGCGUACCUUUUGUAUAAUGGGUCAGCGACUUAUAUUCUGUAGCAAGGUUAACCGAAUAGGGAGCCGAAGGGAAACCGAGUCUUAACUGGGCGUUAAGUUGCAGGGUAUAGACCCGAAACCCGGUGAUCUAGCCAUGGGCAGGUUGAAGGUUGGGUAACACUAACUGGAGGACCGAACCGACUAAUGUUGAAAAAUUAGCGGAUGACUUGUGGCUGGGGGUGAAAGGCCAAUCAAACCGGGAGAUAGCUGGUUCUCCCCGAAAGCUAUUUAGGUAGCGCCUCGUGAAUUCAUCUCCGGGGGUAGAGCACUGUUUCGGCAAGGGGGUCAUCCCGACUUACCAACCCGAUGCAAACUGCGAAUACCGGAGAAUGUUAUCACGGGAGACACACGGCGGGUGCUAACGUCCGUCGUGAAGAGGGAAACAACCCAGACCGCCAGCUAAGGUCCCAAAGUCAUGGUUAAGUGGGAAACGAUGUGGGAAGGCCCAGACAGCCAGGAUGUUGGCUUAGAAGCAGCCAUCAUUUAAAGAAAGCGUAAUAGCUCACUGGUCGAGUCGGCCUGCGCGGAAGAUGUAACGGGGCUAAACCAUGCACCGAAGCUGCGGCAGCGACGCUUAUGCGUUGUUGGGUAGGGGAGCGUUCUGUAAGCCUGUGAAGGUGUGCUGUGAGGUAUGCUGGAGGUAUCAGAAGUGCGAAUGCUGACAUAAGUAACGAUAAAGCGGGUGAAAAGCCCGCUCGCCGGAAGACCAAGGGUUCCUGUCCAACGUUAAUCGGGGCAGGGUGAGUCGACCCCUAAGGCGAGGCCGAAAGGCGUAGUCGAUGGGAAACAGGUUAAUAUUCCUGUACUUGGUGUUACUGCGAAGGGGGACGGAGAAGGCUAUGUUGGCCGGGCGACGGUUGUCCCGGUUUAAGCGUGUAGGCUGGUUUUCCAGGCAAAUCCGGAAAAUCAAGGCCGAGGCGUGAUGACGAGGCACUACGGUGCUGAAGCAACAAAUGCCCUGCUUCCAGGAAAAGCCUCUAAGCAUCAGGUAACAUCAAAUCGUACCCCAAACCGACACAGGUGGUCAGGUAGAGAAUACCAAGGCGCUUGAGAGAACUCGGGUGAAGGAACUAGGCAAAAUGGUGCCGUAACUUCGGGAGAAGGCACGCUGAUACGUAGGUGAAGCGACUUGCUCGUGGAGCUGAAAUCAGUCGAAGAUACCAGCUGGCUGCAACUGUUUAUUAAAAACACAGCACUGUGCAAACACGAAAGUGGACGUAUACGGUGUGACGCCUGCCCGGUGCCGGAAGGUUAAUUGAUGGGGUUAGCGCAAGCGAAGCUCUUGAUCGAAGCCCCGGUAAACGGCGGCCGUAACUAUAACGGUCCUAAGGUAGCGAAAUUCCUUGUCGGGUAAGUUCCGACCUGCACGAAUGGCGUAAUGAUGGCCAGGCUGUCUCCACCCGAGACUCAGUGAAAUUGAACUCGCUGUGAAGAUGCAGUGUACCCGCGGCAAGACGGAAAGACCCCGUGAACCUUUACUAUAGCUUGACACUGAACAUUGAGCCUUGAUGUGUAGGAUAGGUGGGAGGCUUUGAAGUGUGGACGCCAGUCUGCAUGGAGCCGACCUUGAAAUACCACCCUUUAAUGUUUGAUGUUCUAACGUGGACCCGUGAUCCGGGUUGCGGACAGUGUCUGGUGGGUAGUUUGACUGGGGCGGUCUCCUCCUAAAGAGUAACGGAGGAGCACGAAGGUUGGCUAAUCCUGGUCGGACAUCAGGAGGUUAGUGCAAUGGCAUAAGCCAGCUUGACUGCGAGCGUGACGGCGCGAGCAGGUGCGAAAGCAGGUCAUAGUGAUCCGGUGGUUCUGAAUGGAAGGGCCAUCGCUCAACGGAUAAAAGGUACUCCGGGGAUAACAGGCUGAUACCGCCCAAGAGUUCAUAUCGACGGCGGUGUUUGGCACCUCGAUGUCGGCUCAUCACAUCCUGGGGCUGAAGUAGGUCCCAAGGGUAUGGCUGUUCGCCAUUUAAAGUGGUACGCGAGCUGGGUUUAGAACGUCGUGAGACAGUUCGGUCCCUAUCUGCCGUGGGCGCUGGAGAACUGAGGGGGGCUGCUCCUAGUACGAGAGGACCGGAGUGGACGCAUCACUGGUGUUCGGGUUGUCAUGCCAAUGGCACUGCCCGGUAGCUAAAUGCGGAAGAGAUAAGUGCUGAAAGCAUCUAAGCACGAAACUUGCCCCGAGAUGAGUUCUCCCUGACCCUUUAAGGGUCCUGAAGGAACGUUGAAGACGACGACGUUGAUAGGCCGGGUGUGUAAGCGCAGCGAUGCGUUGAGCUAACCGGUACUAAUGAACCGUGAGGCUUAACCUU